rnacentral:rRNA from 1 species
CCUACGGGAGGCUGCAGUGGGGAAUAUUGCACAAUGGGCGCAAGCCUGAUGCAGCCAUGCCGCGUGUGUGAAGAAGGCCUUCGGGUUGUAAAGCACUUUCAGCGGGGAGGAAGGCGUUAAGGUUAAUAACCUUGUCGAUUGACGUUACCCGCAGAAGAAGCACCGGCUAACUCCGUGCCAGCAGCCGCGGUAAUACGGAGGGUGCAAGCGUUAAUCGGAAUUACUGGGCGUAAAGCGCACGCAGGCGGUCUGUCAAGUCGGAUGUGAAAUUCCCGGGCUCAACCUGGGAACUGCAUUCGAAACUGGCAGGCUAGAGUCUUGUAGAGGGGGGUAGAAUUCCAGGUGUAGCGGUGAAAUGCGUAGAGAUCUGGAGGAAUACCGGUGGCGAAGGCGGCCCCCUGGACAAAGACUGACGCUCAGGUGCGAAAGCGUGGGGAGCAAACAGGAUUAGAUACCCGAGUAGUC